CAUUAUUAAUGUUUUUGAACCUCUGUUGAACUGUCAUGGGAAAUAAAUGUUUGUUUAUGUGUUUCAUUUUCUUUUGUCUAGAUUUGAUGAACAACUGCAGCAGUUAUUAGUUGAAGAUUCUGAGACACUUCAGGACACCUUGCCUCUGCCUCUUUAUCUUCCUGAAUCUCUAGUAUCUAUGCCCCAGAUUAUUCAGCCAUUCACCAGAAUUCCAAAACCAAGAAGUCCAGAGGUUGGGACGGAAAGGAGAGACAUAGAUUCCUCUUUAUUUGGCAGACUGACAUUGCUGAAACAACUGAUUAAAGUUAAUAAAGAAGAAGAAACAGCUUGUGAAUUCCACAUGUCUGCUUUGCUAGACAUGGUAGAUGCUUGAUCAGCAUUUCCUUAAACUAGAACAAGAGAGCUGACGAUG